GGGCGUUCUCUCCUCCACUGGUCAUCGCGUGACUCACAGAGCAGCACACAGUGACAGCUGGGAGCCAGCGCUGGCAGAGAAGAGGUCACAACCCAGGUGAGCAGAUGAGCUGCAGUCUGGCGGGGCUGUGGCAGAGCUGCAGGAAGGAGGGAAACAGUGGCUCUCUCCCUUCCGGUCUCUGGAGACGCGGCAUACACAGGGAUUGUCCUACCUGGCUCGACGCUCGCAGGGGACUGCAGGAACAAUUCUGGUCUCCAGCUGACUCCUUGCCGUGGCAGAGUCAGGAAGAGUACAACCCGCAAAACCCACUUUUAUGCCCAUCAGCAAACAGCCCAAACCCUCAAGAUGAAACCAAAAGCAUCUCCAGCCAGGAGUCCUGGGCAAGUGACAGCUUUAUCUAUGGCAGAACCGAAAGAAGGAAGACCGAGCAAGUCAGAAUCAUUAAAAUAGAGAUCAAGAAAGUCACAUUUUUUGAUUUGCCAUAUUAAAGAGAAGGAGGAAAGACGCCAAUUGGCUUGUCAUCUUCUCAUGAAAUAACAGAUGGCAGCUGAGUCACUGCUCCCGGCAGUCAGGACUCUGCUGGUCUCCUGGCUCCUCACUUGGGCCAGCCACUCGGGACAGGAGGAGGUGGCUGUGGGGGGCAGCGGAGGAGGAAGCCUUGCCUCCAUCUGCCUCCAUCCAGCCCACCCUACUCACUCACAGCCCCCAUCCCUAAGAUUCCGAGAGCCUGGCCACCCCUUCUCUGGUCACUCAAACAAAUGGUCCCAAGCACCUGGGGUGUCUGUGUCUGUGGAGGCC
rnacentral:lncRNA from 1 species